ACUCCUACGGGAGGCAGCAGUGAGGAAUAUUGGUCAAUGGGCGAGAGCCUGAACCAGCCAAGUAGCGUGCAGGAUGACGGCCCUAUGGGUUGUAAACUGCUUUUGUAUGGGGAUAAAGUCAAUCACGUGUGAUUGUUUGCAGGUACCAUACGAAUAAGGACCGGCUAAUUCCGUGCCAGCAGCCGCGGUAAUACGGAAGGUCCAGGCGUUAUCCGGAUUUAUUGGGUUUAAAGGGAGCGUAGGCCGUGGAUUAAGCGUGUUGUGAAAUGUAGACGCUCAACGUCUGAAUUGCAGCGCGAACUGGUUCACUUGAGUAUGCACAACGUAGGCGGAAUUCGUCGUGUAGCGGUGAAAUGCUUAGAUAUGACGAAGAACUCCGAUUGCGAAGGCAGCUGACGGGAGCGCAACUGACGCUUAAGCUCGAAGGUGCGGGUAUCAAACAGGAUUAGAUACCCUGGUAGUCCGCACAGUAAACGAUGGAUGCCCGCUGUUGGUACCUGGUAUCAGCGGCUAAGCGAAAGCAUUAAGCAUCCCACCUGGGGAGUACGCCGGCAACGGUGAAACUCAAAGGAAUUGACGGGGGCCCGCACAAGCGGAGGAACAUGUGGUUUAAUUCGAUGAUACGCGAGGAACCUUACCCGGGCUUGAAUUGCAGAGGAAGGAUUUAGAGAUAAUGACGCCCUUCGGGGUCUCUGUGAAGGUGCUGCAUGGUUGUCGUCAGCUCGUGCCGUGAGGUGUCGGCUUAAGUGCCAUAACGAGCGCAACCCCUGUCUUUAGUUGCCAUCAGGUGAUGCUGGGCACUCUGGAGAUACUGCCACCGUAAGGUGUGAGGAAGGUGGGGAUGACGUCAAAUCAGCACGGCCCUUACGUCCGGGGCUACACACGUGUUACAAUGGCCGGUACAGAGGGACGGUGUAAUGCAAAUUGCAUCAAAUCUUGAAAGCCGGUCCCAGUUCGGACUGGGGUCUGCAACCCGACCCCACGAAGCUGGAUUCGCUAGUAAUCGCGCAUCAGCCAUGGCGCGGUGAAUACGUUCCCGGGCCUUGUACACACCGCCCGUCAAGCCAUGG
rnacentral:rRNA from 1 species